rnacentral:rRNA from 3 species
UGUUUCGGCUAGGGGGCCAUCCCGGCUUACCAACCCGAUGCAAACUGCGAAUACCGGAGAAUGUUAUCACGGGAGACACACGGCGGGUGCUAACGUCCGUCGUGAAGAGGGAAACAACCCAGACCGCCAGCUAAGGUCCCAAAGUCAUGGUUAAGUGGGAAACGAUGUGGGAAGGCCCAGACAGCCAGGAUGUUGGCUUAGAAGCAGCCAUCAUUUAAAGAAAGCGUAAUAGCUCACUGGUCGAGUCGGCCUGCGCGGAAGAUGUAACGGGGCUAAACCAUGCACCGAAGCUGCGGCAGCGAACGUAUCACUUAAAGCGAUUCAGCGGGUUACGAUUGACGGAGCGAAGCGACGUCAAAGCGUAUACAAAGUCGAGUCGGUUUAAGGAUACGUUCGUUGGGUAGGGGAGCGUUCUGUAAGCCUGUGAAGGUGGCCUGUGAGGGUUGCUGGAGGUAUCAGAAGUGCGAAUGCUGACAUAAGUAACGAUAAAGCGGGUGAAAAGCCCGCUCGCCGGAAGACCAAGGGUUCCUGUCCAACGUUAAUCGGGGCAGGGUGAGUCGACCCCUAAGGCGAGGCCGA